AUAAAGCAAAGCACUGAAAAUGCUUAGAUGGGUAUCCACUUAUACCCCAUAGACA
rnacentral:tRNA from 1 species